UUUUUAUCAGAUCAACAUAUAUAGUACGUUUUGAUGGAGGAAUCCAGCAUGGACAAACGACCCAUACAUUUGUCUACAUAACUCAACCCACAGCGCGCAUGAUCAUGUCAUUGGCAGUGGCUUAUGCCAACAGUUCCAAACCCCGCUCAUACUCCUCAGCUCGGACUUUGGGACGCGAUGACUUCAGUACAGGUCCGUCAAGUGACCGCGGGUGGGACGCGAUGACUUCAGUACAGGUCCGUCUAGUGACCGCGGGUGGGACGCGAUGACUUCAGUACAGGUCCGUCAAGUGACCGCGGGUGGGACGCGAUGACUUCAGUACAGGUCCGUCAAGUGACCGCGGGUGGGACGCGAUGACUUCAGUACAGGUCCGUCUAGUGACCGCGGGUGGGACGCGAUGACUUCAGUACAGGUCCGUCAAGUGACCGCGGGUGGGACGCGAUGACUUCAGUACAGGUCCGUCAAGUGACCGCGGGUGGGACGCGAUGACUUCAGUACAGGUCCGUCAAGUGACCGCGGGUGGGACGCGAUGACUUCAGUACAGGUCCGUCAAGUGACCGCGGGUGGGACGCGAUGACUUCAGUACAGGUCCGUCAAGUGACCGCGGGUGGGACGCGAUGACUUCAGUACAGGUCCGUCAAGUGACCGCGGGUGGGACGCGAUGACUUCAGUACAGGUCCGUCAAGUGACCGCGGGUGGGACGCGAUGGCUUCAGUACAGGUCCGUCAAGUGACCGCGGGUGGGACGCGAUGGCUUCAGUACAGGUCCGUCUAGUGACCGCGGGUGGGACGCGAUGGCUUCAGUACAGGUCCGUCAAGUGACCGCGGGUGGGACGCGAUGACUUCAGUACAGGUCCGUCAAGUGACCGCGGGUGGGACGCGAUGACUUCAGUACAGGUCCGUCUAGUGACCGUGCGCUCUUGUUACGCCUUACAUUCUUCGCUCGAACGACCACGGCAAGCACCAUGGAUACAAUCUGCGACCUGUCAUUAAACAUGGUCCACGCAAAUACCGUCAGGUAGGUUUAUUAUUCGGAUCUCGUACAGCCCGUGAAUGUGAACUGAACUGGCAAUUGAGUCUACGCUCACUCUGGAAUAAGAUGUUUUCAUUAACACUGUUACACGACAGACUAU